rnacentral:lncRNA from 1 species
UCAUGAGCCAUUUCCAGGGAACAGUUUUAGACAGUGCCGGGCCAUGCUACGAGUGCGAAUGAAAGUUGCAUCCGCACACUGAACGAACACUGGUGAAGUCGUGAUCCAUCCGGGCUGCACAUACAAAUAUGAAGAUACUCUGGAUAAUCCCAUUUUUCCUGCUGCAAGACACGGAAGCUUUUCUGAUGAAGAAUGCUAAAAUCAAGCUGUGUUUACAGGCCAGCCCAGAGGAUGAGAGUUUGCUGCUGGAGGACUGUAACCCAGCAUCAGAUUUCCAGGACUGGUCUUGGCAGGGUGAUUCCUUGAUGAAUCACGGCACGCAGAGCUGCCUCUCUGUGGUGGAGGCCAGCAUAGUGCAAAGCCCCUGUGACAGCACAGCUUACACGGGCUGGGACUGCUCGAAUUCAUUGCUCUCUCCUCUGGGCAGCAGCCAGAGCUACCUGGUGGCGAGCAGGAAAGGAGUUGGUCUUGAUAACGUGAGAGGUCUCAAGGCUCAGUGGUUGCAAGGUGGCACGGAGAGGAAUGUCUGCGAGGAGAAAGCAGCCAAGGCAGUGCAAGAGAGCUACUUCCAUGCAGCCCUUACCAGCACGCAGGUGUACGACCACACAGCAUACAACUCUACCCUCGUGGCGGGUAUGGAUCCAGAAAAGCUGAAGGAUCUGCUGUGGUUCUUCCGCACAGAAGACCGUAAGUCCCACUGAUGUUCCUGGGCUGAGUCCAAAUAGAAAUAGACGGUCCUUGGCUGUGAACCCUCCUGCCCAGCGGAGGUGCCUGAGGGAAUUAUCUAAGGAGGGUAUUUACCCCAGGUAUAUAAACCCUCAGCCUCACCUCCCGAAGAAGCAGGCCAUGUGUGAAGCCAGGCAUGGCGCUUUGCUGUGGUAGGGUCUUCUCCCAGAGAGGGCUCCAGCCUCCCUCCAGGCAUGUUCUGCCAAAAGAGCAAAGGUCUGAGAUCACCAGUGAUUUUGGCAGGGUGCAGGGAGCGGAUCAAUAUGAGCGGGUCAGCGCCCUGAGGAUCAACUUCAAAGCCACGAAACCCAAGGACAGAACAUCUGCUGCCAUCUGCACUGCACAUCC